CUAAACGAUCAGUGCCAUGUGCUAAAGUCCUUCCAAGGCUUACGGUUGUUUAAAGCUCUCAUUUAGUCUACGAAAUUUCUUCAGGCAUUCAUUUCUCUGAGGAGAGGGAUUUCAUUCUUCUUUCUUGGAACAAGUUGGAUUUGCACUAUCAAAUACAAAUAUAAAAAGGCUGUUAUGAAAAGAAACAGGACUAUGUCAUAGUAGCAGAGAAGGGAGCUUCUGGUUUAUCGUAACAACCAAACAUACUCGAAAAGCUUGUAAACCUCCGUUAAGGAAAGAGGGACCUUUCUCGCAUUCUUUCAAAAUUUCAAGUGGAAUGAGUGCUGUGAAACCCCAGGGAAGUGUGGUCCAUGCCUUCCACAGACAUCAAUUGUCUGUUUUCCUUCUCAAAGCCCAAUUCGAGGUUUCUCUUUAUUGGUGUGAGAUACUUUGUACCUUGCCGUGAAUAAAAUGGCUUUUAAUAGGGAUUAAAAUGCUUUUAAGGCGUCUGUUACCUAAUGGAACUGAGGAUCAUCAGGAUUUUGUUAAGGAGACUUUUUUAUACACCCAAGCGUUGCGAGGAAUUGUUGUCGUGAGAUUAAGCUCAGCUAAAAGGCGUUGCUUGCAGUGCCCUAAGAAACCACACAGCUCACUAAAUACACGUUAAACGCUUACCCUGACCGUCAAGCUUGUAAGCUUGCUUCUGUAAAUAAAUCGUUACUAAAAUCCGA
rnacentral:misc_RNA from 1 species